rnacentral:misc_RNA from 1 species
GAUGAAGAACGCAGCGAAAUGCGAUAAGUAGUGUGAAUUGCAGAAUUCAGUGAAUCAUCGAAUCUUUGAACGCACAUUGCGCCCCUUGGUAUUCCAUGGGGCAUGCCUGUUCGAGCGUCAUUUGUACCUUCAAGCUUUGCUUGGUGUUGGGUGUUUGUCCCGAGGGACUCGCCUUAAAGUAAUUGGUAGCCAGUGUUUGGUUUUGAAGCGCAGCACAAGUCGCGAUUCAAGGCUACACGCCCGCUUCCACAAGCCUUUUUUCACUUUUGACCUCGGAUCAGGUAGGGAUACCCGCUGAACUUAAGCAUAUCAAUAAGCGGAGA